CUUAGCAUAGGAGGUUAGGUCAUCCAGUUUUCAAAACACUUGUAAAAAUUCUUGAGUCUUGUAAUAAAUCUUAUGUUAAUGAAAAACAUUUCUUCUAUGAUUCCUAUCAACUUAAAAAGUCUCAUUCUCUUUCCUUUACCAUAUCAUCUUCACAUGCAUCAUAACCCCUGGAGCUAAUCGACACUGACAUAUAGGGACCUGCACCCAUCACUUCCAUGCUAGGAUAUAA
rnacentral:lncRNA from 1 species